UUUAUUUAAAUUCUAAUUAGUUAACAUACACUGCAAAACUGGUUUCAGGCACAGAAUUCAGUGAUUUAUCACUUACUUAUAACACCCAGUGUUAUAAGUGCCUUCCUUUAAGACCCAUCACCCGUCUAACCCGUGUCCCACCCACCGCCCUCCAUCAGCCCUCAGUUUGUUUUCUAUCACUAAGAGUCUCUUGUGGUUUGUUUCCCUCUCUUCUCUUGCCCCUUCCCACCCAUACGUUCAUCUGUUUGGUUUCUUAAAUUCCACAUGAGUGAAAUCACAUGGUAUUUGUCUUUCUCUGACUGACUUAUUUAACAGAAUGCACCCUAGCUCCAUCAUGGCAUAGCAAAUGGCAAAAUUUCAUUCUUUCUGAUGGCUGAGUAAUAUUUCAUUGUGGGAAGCAGAGUGAGGAUCUCACCCUGGCUCUGGCUGCACAGAAAAAGAAACCCCAACUCUUCAGUCUGGUUAACACAUAUUGUCAGGAGCCUGGCAGAUCAUCACCAUGGUGGUUCUGACCUUUAUCACAUCCUGGAGUCACCCAGACAACAUUGUGACUCUUAUUGCAGAUGACAAAACUGAGGCUCAGAGAUAUCAAGUCAUUAGAACCUGGAGUUUCUUCCCUCUUCUCCGAGGUCUUUUCCAGCGUAACCCACAGUCUGUCUUGGUGGGGGGUCUCCCUGGAAGCAGACCCUGAACAAAAGACUUAAGUGUAGGUCAUCUGUUUGGGAGGUGACUCAGGGAAGAAAAGAAGCCCUGGCGGUAAUGUGCCCUUCUGGGGAUUCUGGAAAGCAGUGGAGAGCCUGCUGGGAGCAUUUUUGCAUCCCUAGGAGGAGGGAGCAGGGGUACAUAUACCCUGGCUCCCAUUACUUGUGGUUGAGGGAUGCUGGGAAGGGGGUGUCUUUAUUCCUGGCACAUCACUCUGUCCAUCACACAUUUGGACAGAGAGAUGCUGGUGCUGGUAGGUACAGGUGGAGCUGACAGGGACUGAAAUGGUAGAGACUGAGGAGGUAUGGGGAGGGUACCCACAGUGCACAGUGUCUGCAAGGCUGCCUUUCAAUCACCAGACCACGUGGAAUAGGCUUUGAGAGCUUUGAGAGACAAAGGGCAUUAUAGGCUGGACUCUGAGCCAGAUCUUGGAGUAGGCUCACUCUGCCCUGGCCACCAGCAGAAGCAGGGAGGGACAGGAUUCUCCAGUUAGUUCCUUAAAAGGGGCGAAUGCCACUCAGUGCCUUCCGUGAGGAAUAAUCCCAGCUGUCCCCAAAAUGUGGGGUGGGAACCCUGACAACAUCCCCCCACACCUCCUCACAUGGGAGAGCCUUUGGGUAGCAUGCUUUUUAGUGAUGUAGUGAUACCCUGUUCAGUGUCAUGUCGCAGUCUCACCCAGCCAUGGCGGCCCCCUUGAUGAGAGUGAGGGAGGCUCUGGGAGGCCAAAGAGCACAUUGAAAACAAAGCCAAACAGCAACAAGAGCAAAGGAUCCUGUGGGAAGAAAGGCCAUGAACUUGGCCUCAUUAGCACUGUCUGGCAGCAGACCCAAUUCUCUCCCUUGUAUGCUUAUUAUGAAAAUGGCGAAACAAAAAAAGAAACAGAUCAACCAACGGACAGACAGCUCUGCCUGGGAGGAGCUUCCUGUCUGUUAACUAGCGGUGGAGUCCUACCACGGUGAGAAAAUUGGGGUCCCCUCGUCUGACCCCCAGUGGUCCCGUUACUGAGACCAGGAAAGAAGAGUCUCCAUGGUGAAAUAGGAAAACAUUAGUGAAUGUAAGCCUUUUUCACUUCACGUGCUCAGCACCAUCGAGCAAAGGACAUGGGGAACCACCAGUGAAUUUCCGCUGUUCUCUGUGGUGGCCACAGAUUUAAUCAGGUGGCAUCAGGAGGCAAAUAUUUGGACCUGUCUAUGGAAAGUUCUUCUGCUCCCCAUUUCCUGUGGUGGCCUGGGGCUGGUUGGGACCACAAGGGAAAUGAAUUACAUAGAGAGGGAACAUGCCUGACUUAGUUACCAAAAAGGAAAGAAAUAAAUCCUUUAGCUUUGUGAUUUUUUUUUUUUUUUGUCCCUUUUCACUGAAGGGAGAUCCUGGCAGUUAGCUCUGGUCAGGGGCCUAUGGGUUGGCUCCCUGCCUUUGCCCCACUUUGUCUUUUCAAACGGAUGCUUUUUGGUCUGGUUUUUGUUUGCUGCUGGUGUUUAGUUCCUGAGAGAGGAUCUGACUUAUACAAGCUAAUUUCUCCCUUAGCAUACCCCAAAGGAAAUCAAGUCAGAAGCAGAGACCUCUUAGGGGAAUCCCUGAUCUGUCCUGGCCAGCAUCAGCCACAUUGUUACCUCCUCUGCAAAGGCAGGGCCCUGGGAUGGACAGAGCUGUUCUUGAACCUCGCUGGGAAAUUGGAUGGGGGACUGGUAGUCUGGGAAGAGCAGUGCACCAUAUUGGUUUAUGGCAUCAAAAGUUCAGAACAUCAUAGAGGAAUAGAGGUAAAAAACAACAACAAUAAAAAACAACAACAACAACAACAAAAAACCCACAUACACAAAACAAAACAAAAAAAGAAGGAGAAAAAGAAAAAGAAGACUUUUUCUCAGAGAAGAGGAUAGGCCUCUGUGAGAAAAGCUCUAGUAGAGACUCAUGGUCAUGAACUUCAUCUUCAGCUUACCACAUGGCUUUGGAAAAUCACUGUAAAUUUCUGGACCUUGUUCCCUUAUUGAAAUAAUAAGAGUAUGGGUCCAUGUGACCUCUAUCCUCCAAAAGGAAAACCAGGGAGAACAGGGGCAAAAGCCAAGGGCCCAGGCAGAGGCUAUGGGCUAGACCUCUGCCAGCCUUGCAUGGGUCACUUAACUGCUCAGAACCCCAGUGGAUCUCUCUCUUGCAUCUUCCCUGAGUGCUGGAGACAUCUUGGGGGACCCUUUGAAGUUCACCACUGAUGCCAUAAAAACUUCUCCUACCCCUGUCUCCAAGGUUAUCUGCCUAUCUUUCAUUGAGUAUAUGAAGCCAAUAAACUCAGACUGCCUCCUGAGGCAUCAGAUUUACUGCAAGUUUUGAGCAAGAAGAACCAUUUCUUAGGCCAAAACAGACAAUGGUAUAUUACUCUGUUCAUGUAAAAUGUGCUUGAAUUUUAAAGAUAGGUACUUGGACAAUAAGAACUCGGAAUGGAUUCCAUGCCUGCCUUAAACCACUUUCUACAAGAGCCCAGUCACCCACAUACCUGUUCUUCGUUCCUCUGUACAGGGAUACUUGGUGGGACAUUAGAGAAGCCAUCCCGUUUAUCAGUGUAUUGAGAUCAGAACAGUCCUUAUGUACCUGAGUACUUAAUAGUGUAGAGCGUGAUCCAGCUCCAUGGCUUUCCAGGUGUCAGCACCCCUAGGAUAGUGGUUCUUAAUUCUUGAGGAACACUGCCUACUUGGAGGAUCUGGUUACAGCAGCUUGAAAUUCUGAUUUAGAUUUUCCAUGGAAUUUGAGGGCCAUUUCAAGCCCACUCAGUAGACCACUACUGCCUGGGUCCUAGGCUAAGAAGACCUUGCCUAGAGGAAUCUGGUAAAGAGGAAAACUGGGCGGAGGCAGAACUUUAGCUGCUGUUUUGUAUAAUUUUUCAGAAGUAGGUGGGCUUCUGGGUUUGAAGGUGUCUGCUGAGGGAUGACCUGAUUUGAGGCCAAGGCUGUGUGAAACAUUUAGAAGUGGUGGGAGGGUAGAGUGGGAGGAGGGAUGUGUGUCUACGCACAUCUCCGAGCUUCCGUUUUGAGUUUUUCUCGAAUGGGCUGGAUACUUGGAUUAGGUUGUAAGGAUUUGUUUAUCCAUGUACUUGUCACCUAGCUACUAACAUCAGCUCUCACACCGUCAUUUUUUAAGGUAGUGUGAGGAGUAGUUUGAUGCCACAAUGUCUUUGCUUGAGAAGGGGCUUCAGGUUGGAGAAGUGUGGAGUGAUUAUUUAUCUCAUGGUCAGAGGGGAAAGCAGGGAGCCCCGAUCAUGCUUCAGAAGUCCCCUGGCUUCUUUGCUCCUGGUUUCUUUGCUCCCCUGACCCCAGGAUGUUGCACAGAUGUCACCUGGGUGUGCCCCUCCCCCUGCUCAAAUUGCCUUUUCUUUCUGGUCUUGCAUGAGUAAUCCUCACCUUGUUGAAAUGAGAUGUUUCCCCUGAGUUGAGAGGCUCGUGUAGCAGGUUGGAUUCACACUCCUGCAAGUUUGAGGCAGAGUGCCUGCUCCCCUAUGCAUUUCGACAAGCAGGAUCCUGACCAAGGGGUCAAGUUCCCCAUAGGUGCUCCAUGUAAGGCACAGAGAAACAAAGCCUGUGCUCUGCUCUUAUCUCUCCUGGAGCUCUGGGCACAUGGUGGGCUCCCAGCCCUCCCUGUAGGCUUGGGAGAGUUAAUGAUUUCAUAGGGCUUUCUAAAUUGCACAGUUAUUUACAGAAUCAUCUGACUUAAUUCUCACCAUAAGCAUGGGGGUAGGUACAAUGGCAUCAUUUUCUAGAGGAGUUGCUUAGGCACUAGAGAAGUUAAGGGAUGUAUCUCAAGUGCCAGCCCUGAUCAGUGACAGGACACAGGAAUUCAGAGGUUGUCAUGGCCCUGCCCAUGUUCUUUACGCAUACCCAUCAGGGCACUUGGUGAUGACUUUGACUGAUGGCUUUCUCUGGCCACCUUAGUGUGUUUUGCUUAUCGUUGUGGUAGACCAAAAGUCAGAGGAAUGCAUACUUCCUGGGGCAGCCCAGAGCCUAUGACAAUUGGGAGCUGGUGUAUACCCCCACAUCCCUCACCCCCUUGGAGGAGGAGAUAACACUGAAGUACCUGAUCUAUGCAUUUUCUUCAGAGUUUCCCUAGUGGGAUUAAAAAGCCCGUUACCACAGUGAUAACUGGCUUGCCGACUGGCAACCUUCCCUUCCAAGUAUCACUUCCCCACUCCCCUGCUGGCUCUUCUCCACCUCACAGAUUAGUCACUGGUGCCCAAAUCCUUGUCUCAGAGUCUGCUUCUAGGAGAACCUAAACUAGGACCCAGAUUUUUGGACACCAAGUCCUGGCUUUUCCCAUCUGGACAGCAGUGUUUCUCUCUCUUCCUUCUGGGUGGAAGGGCUCACCAGGCUCCUGAGAGAGAAUCAAGCUGUGUUCUGAGGCUAAGAACAGCCUGUCAUUGCCGUGGUGCAUAGCUUGUAGUUGGUGGCUUUUCUUUCUUUUAUUCUGAGGGGAAAGAAAAUGGACUGGCACUCCUGGUACGUCCCCCUGCCCACCCCCAGAUCAGCACUGUUUAUCCACAGAGGGAAGUUGUCUGAAAUGGAGAUGGAGAAGGCAGGGUCCCAGGAGAAAACCCCACUGUCUGAGCUUCUGGCCGUAGAAGACAGUGGGCCCAGCAAGGUUACAGAGUUCACCAAGUUAGUGCAUUUGUUCUGCACAUUGCUUACGUUAUUUGAUGGGAGGAAGCACCACAUCAGACUCCACAGCAGAUGCUGUAAAUCAUGGGAAGUGUGCUGCGGCCAGCUCUGUGGGGUGGCAUGGAAAUGAAGCCAUCUGUCAGACCAGGAGGCCAGGCUGCCGGCCCUCGCUCCCCUGGGUUUGGCCUUGGUGAAGAGAGGGGGCGCUACUGAGGCAUCAGUGGGGGUGGGAUUCUGCAGCAACUUUGAACACCCUUGAGAAUCAGAGAAGCUGAGGAAAGCAUGUCAACGUUUCCUGAGAAAUUUUGUCUGCGUUUGGCAAAGGUGAACUAGAAUUUGCCACGUGAGUGGGGAGGGGCUUUUUAAAUAAAGCAAGAUCUCCAAAAUUCCUUUCUAGAAGCCCUUUCUAGAAGCUUCUCUUGAAUAUCUUAAAAGAGAUUGAAACAGAGAAAUGCUGAGGACAGCCUGGCUUCCCUGUUUAAAACUGAUUAUUAAAGUUGGCUUGUUCUAACCCAAUAUGAGAAGUGUGUGUACGUGUGUGUGCGCAUGUGUGUGUAAGGGCAGGCAUUUGGGAGAAAAUCUAUGAAGGUGAGGGAAAGUGUGUAGAAGGACAUGUCUUGAAAUACACUGAGUACCCUGAUUUGUAGUUCCUAUAAUAUUAUUUUAUGUGUAAUUUUACUUACUAUUGAUGAAACUGCCAGUGUGGGAAUGUUUUAGGUGCUAGGUGCCAUUUUCAGCAAGAAACCAAAAAGUGGAAGAAAGAGUGGAAGACUCUCUAUCUGUGUUCAAGGUUGCUACUUGCUGGCUGUUCUGGUCAGUAACAGUAUAGAAUGGAUAGGUGGAAGGGUAAAUUGAAGCAGUCCUAUGAAAUGAGGCAUGGGAUUCAUCUCUGGAUUGCUUGCUCCCCGUUUUGUGUGUCCUUAACAUGGAUAAUUGUGGGCAGGCUGUCAUUCUAGCCUUCCUGGGAGGCUGUUCCCAAUUUAUUCUUUCACUCUCUGCCAUGAGCAAGCCAAGGGAAAAGAUUAUUCCCAGAACCAGAGUGUUCCAGGUUUUCUGAAAGGUCAUUGCCACUUUAAAAAUUUUUUUUUUCUUUUUUUUUUGGUAACUCCCAGCAUGGCAGAAAUGCUUGGAUGUCGGUCCUGUGCCUUUAACCGCUGCUACAAGCUGACUCUAUUUAUUUGAAAUAAAACUUUCCUCCUGGUCCAGUAGCAUUCAAGGCUGAAUUGGCCAUGAGACAGAGGACCCUGUGUUCCUAAUUAUUUCUGGAUGAAAAGUCCUGCAGGCAAGUGGAGAUUCAGGGCAAGGAUGGCCAGGUGGAGCAGUCACCAGUGUGCAGUGGAUUGUAGAAACGGAGAGAUAAUUAAAUUAAGAGUGCCAGGUGCAGGCAUUGAAAAAUAACCGUGGGUGUUAAUUAUGCAGUCCAGCUUUACAGUCCAGUGUUAGCAGAGGAAAUGCCAUGGGCCAGUCCGUCACAUGGCAGCUUGAAAGGCUUGGGAGAGACACAUUCAUGAUUUCUAGAGAAUUUGCCAGGGCUGCCUACUUGGGAUUCUGGUGAAGCAAGAUUAUUUAUUAGUUGGGGUGUGUGUAUCUUUUCUAUUUUACACUGAGCCAAGGUGGGAAUUUGGUGUGUGGGGUGGCGUGGGGGGUUAAGUUUGAUCCACAUGGAAAUUUGAGCGUGGUGAGGAUCAUGGUGGAGUAUGGAGUUUCUGGUCUUGGCACUUCCAGAAGUAUUUAUUCUCUGAUUCAAAAUGACUUUGGGUUUAGGGGUCUGGGGCAGUGUGUCCCUGUUGUGGCAUAUUCUUACAGUGGUUUACAAUACAGCAGUCAGGAGGGGUGGAUGCUGAUAGCAUGGAACAGUAGUGUAGCUGGGUUUCUAGUAUACUGAGUGGAGAGAAGCCAUACCUCAGAGUCCUUUCUGCCUGAUUCCAUGUUGGUGAAGUUCUAGAUCAGGUUAAACUGAGCUGUGGUGAUGCAUAGCAGGUCUGUGGUUCAGCAAGGGAACUUUAUAAGGUGAUCGGGGAAUUUUCUGUUUCUUUCUUGGGCCAAGGGUUAGAUGAUGUGAGCAUUUUUCCAAAUACAUUGGAAGUACACUUAAAAUGGGUGCGUUUCAUUGCAUGUAAAUUGUUCCCCAUUGAAAGAAAUAUAAGAAGGCUUCCAGCGCUAUGCCCUUCCGUGGAUUUUGAGCCCUACUCGGUUUGUCCCUAAUCUCAUGUUCACAGUCUACCCUGACCACCCAGCCUUUCUUUGUCCAUAGAGUUGUUCACAAAAGCCCCUCAUUAUAAGGAAGCCUAGUCUAAUGCAGGGACAGUGUGCCGUGGCCCUCGGGCCAAAUCCGCUCACCCGCAGUUUUGUAAAUACAAUCCUAUUGGAACCCAGCCAUGCCUGUUCAUUUAUGUGUCCUUUGUGGCUGCUUUCAUGGCACAGUGACAGAGCUGAGUGGCUGCAGCAGAGACCACUGGUCCACAGGCCUGAAAUACUUACUGUCUGUCCCUUUACAGAAAAGGUCUGUGACAACUUGGUCUAAAGGACCGUUUCUUUUGGAGCUUCUCACUACAGCUCUGUGUGGGCAGAGGUUUUGGGCAGAGAAUGCUGUCCUGGGAGGGGUCAGGUAUAGCUAUUGAGUUGUGGUUGCUGUUGGGAUAAGUCGUUUUUCAUCCCUUGGACUUUGCCAGGUGUGCAUGGUGCCAUGGAUGUACAGUGGAGUACAUCUUGGCCUAUAUAGAGUUUUAAAAAAAGUUUUCUGGGUCGCUGCUUUUAGGGAGGGAGAAAUAAGUAAGGCCUGGAAACUCUCCGUGGCCAAAGCAAAACUCUUGUUUUAAACCCCUAAGCCUGUGGCUGUAAAUGAUCCCUGCAUGGAAAAUGAAAGUCAGCUAAUUGAUAUUGAUAAAAGUAGGGAGGUGUGGUCUGGUGAGACCUAAUCAGUGUGAUUGGUAGCGUUGAUUAAGUAAAUGAAGGAACUAAUUGAACAUGUGAACUAAUGUCAGAAUUUGGGUUUGUAUUUGGGGCUAAAUGAGUUAUUUUGUGGAAGAUACACUUUAUACUGUUGAUUUGUUGAAGAUAGUCUUUUAGACCAUUGUUUAAAAAGGUUUACACCCCUUCUCUACUUUCUCCCCAAGAUUAAUGCUUGUGACCAGGCAGACCGUCUCUCGAGGGUCUGGUAAUGUGGCGCACGGGUUUUGAAGCUUCAGCUUUUUUCAUUUUGCAAUGGUUAUUUCCCUCAUCUGUCCGAUUUUCUUACUCUGUGGUUACCAGAAUUAAAGAGCUAGGUCUUGGGGAUGAGGGAUCAAUAACUUUUUUAAUGAAAAGAAGUAGAUUUCUGUUCUUAAAAAUGUGUAUGUGUGUGUGUGUGUGUGUAUGAUAAUGAUGCAUGACACAUACAUAUGUGAAUGAUACCUAUCUGUGAUGAACAUGUAAAUGAUAAAUACAAUAAUGAUCUGUCUGUGUAAUUGGGGACUUAAAAAAUCAGGGCAAUUACAAUAGGCUGUUCCUUCAUGGCCCCAGAUUACGAGGGCUGCGCGCAGGUGGGGCGGAAUUACCGGAACUGGAAAAUCGCUGGCUCACUGAGAGGAUUUCAGAAACAAGCAGAUGAAUCGUGAGUCCUGGAGAUGUGUUCCACAGAACAGAGAAUUCCUGACUGGAUCGUGUGGCCUGUGCUGCGGGAUUCGUUCUGUAGUCAGCCUCAUAGACAUAGGACCUCCUGAAUGUCAGGCACUUUAGGGUGCUGUGUUUUAUGCUGGUAGAAGUGAGGAGGCAUGGGUGUGAGCUCACCUGCACACACCUACCUCAGCAGAAUUAAGCUGGCCACUACUUCCGCAGUGUGGCAGUGUCAAAAAUAGUUAAAUGUAUAUAAACGCCUCCUCUCCUCCCUUCAGGCUGCUGUGCCCGCCGAUGACAAUAGCAGCACCAGCAAAACAACAACAACAACAACAACAACACACACACACACACACACACAUACACUCUGUAAUCUGAUGUGUUUUUUUCCUUUCAGCUUCAGAUACAGAUUUGGGAUGGAGGCAGAAUAUCAUAUUUUAUACUUUUUAUAAAGUAUUUACUUUGUAAGUAUUCUUAUAGGAGUGUUAACAAUAACCCUGUGAUAUAAACAUUGACUAGGUAGUAUGUAUAUACAUUCAUUCAUUGAUCCAUCCAUUCAUUAAUUCAUUUUCACAUAUCACAUUGCCUUCUGCCAGCAGCCUUGCUUAGUACCGGGGAGUAAAUAGUGAGGAAAAAAAAAAUAGCCCAGUUCUUGUCCACAGAGAACUCAGAGCUCUCUAGCUUCAGUAUCAGGAGAUCACACAGUAGGUCUGGGGGUUAGAAGAUAUUUCACAGAGAAGAAAGUGGCACUGGGGCUAGAAUCUAGAGGAAGAAUUUUGACCAGGUGAGGGUUGAGGGAUGUUGUGCAGAGGUCCUGUGGUCCAAAGGAACAGGGCACAUAAGAGGAACUCUGACAAGGCUUCAGGGUGGAAGAAACAGCAUGGCUGAGGACACUGGGAAUGACCUUGCAGUGCAGGUCCUUGUGUAUUAUAUUAAGGAGGCAAACUGGAAUCCAAGAACAGUGAGAAGCUGCUGUAGUACUUUAAUCAAGGUGGAUUUACAUUUGGAAAAUGUACAUUUGGAUUUGCAUUUUGGAAAGCUCCCUCUGGCUGCAGUGCUUGUAUGGACCAGAGGGGAAGACUCAGCCUGGAAUGAUGACUUUCUGUGGGCUUGUUUUUCUUCUUUUACUUUCCCUCUGGGAUGUGGGCGCCUGGGCUGAUUUAGUCUCUGACAGUCUCCGAGCAGAAGGACUGGUCACAGGGUAUUUAAUAAAAGUGAGGUGGGAUGGAAUAUUCCAGAAAUGUAUUCCUUGGGCUGUGGAAUGAUUAGGAAUACCAUAUGCCAGCAGCAGUGGGCUAAAUGGGGGGAUUAUGGUGCUAACAGGUAAACUGAUGAAAUGAUUCCAUCCACCAAACCUUGGCCAUGAAGAGUAAGUUCCUGUUUUAAGCCAGUUUUUCCUUUGACAUCCAGAAUGAAGUGUGAGAGGUUUUCCUUGGCAGCAACUCUUAAACCAUAGAGCAUUGGGGAAUGAUUUCUGACUCUUUGAAAUAAUGAGCCAGGCGAAGAUUAAAAUAGGUAAGGUACCUGGGUGACCCAGACCCUAGGUUGAGGGGAGGAAAAGUGUAAAAGUGCUUAACUCAGUGUCCUACAUAGAUGUUAGCUAUUAUGAUAUGGCUAUUAUUAAUAUCAGUGUCACUAUUACCGACAGGAAUGUCCUGCAUUACUGUCUCACCUUUUAAUAUCCAUCCAUCCAUCCAUCCAUCCAUCCAUCCAUGCAGUUAUCCAUCCAGUUCAUCCUUUUAACAAAUGUCUAUUGAGAACCAACUAUACCAGGCAUUGUUAUAGGUGUUGGGGACAUAGCAGUGAGCAAAACUAUAUUCCAGUCUCCAUGAAGCUUACAUUCUGGUUCAGGGAGGUGAAUAAAUAAAAGCCAAAUAAAUAAAUGCAUUUCCUGGCUGAUGAGAGUAAGAGCUGAGGAGAAAAAUAAGGUAGGAAGAGAGGCUGGAGAGUGAUGGCUAAGUCCAGGAAGGCCUCUCUGAGCCAAGAACAGAGUGGAGGACGUAGAUUGCCAAUGACUAAGGAAACUGAAGGGCAGGUGCAAUAGCCCUGUGGCAGGAAGUGCUUUCGGGAUUUGAGAAGGAGGGAGGAGAUUAGUGCAGCUUGGGGAGUGCUCUCCACUGUGUGCUCCAAGCUUCUGUUCUUAUGUAAUCAGUAAUGCCUAAUAACAGGAGUGGGCUCCUCUUUUCGGUGGAGGAAGUAAGCAACUCUGAUAAAAGGGAUUGGUGCUUACUUUCAGUUUUCUUUUUUUGUCCCUUGGGGCUCUGAUUCCACCCCCUUCUUGCCAUUUCUGCACAGGUUAGACUCACAGCCAUUCAUAUACUAGGCAGAGGUUCCCAGAAGAAAUGUUUUGAGAGGUCUAGCAAGUUGAAGUAUUAUUUCAUCUCCUUUCUGACAAUUUUCAAGAUUGACAACAAUCCCCAUUUGUCUGGCGACAUGGUCACUGGUGGGGCAGGUGUCCUGUUAAACGUGGAACACAGAAAUAAGCAGUGAGAGUUGACAUGCUGAAGUAGAAAUUGAAGGAAGUACAUCUUUGGAUGAAAUGGAGUCACUCAACUGACAUUCGAAAUGUCUGCCGUGCAUUCAGUAGAUGAUGUUCUCUGCCACAGGUAGCCCUUCCAACAUGUAUGCAGACGUCUGCCAUGUGCCUGUUCCCUGCUGGGGCUGGGAAGCACUCUUCAGCGUGUCAGCAUCUUGGUAAACAUGUCAACAAUCUCUGUGAUUCACCACACGUGAAUAAGUGCUAUGGAUUUGGCUGAUCGAUUGGUAUGCGAAUGUAGGAGAAAAUGCCACUUCUUAUCUGUGGGCGGACAUGCAAAAUACAGAAGUUCUCCCCAGUAUGAUGAUUACACAAUGAACGAUGUGAGUCUGUGAAAAGUUCCAGAAACUCGAUUACUGUUGAUGGUGAUAAUAUGAUUAAUUAAAGCCACUCAGGAAUUAGUCUAAUUUACUGCAGUGGGAGGAAGGGGGGGAUAUAGGUUUAAAAGGAAAAUAAAGUGAGGUUUAUUUUUUUACAUCUAAGAGUCAGAAUGAUUAAAAUUAAGCAGCUUCCUCAUCCAUUUUGGUGGGAACCAGGAGAGGCUUUUGUCUUUGCUGCUGGGGCCUGGCGGUGGGCUGACAUGUUAUGUGAAUGUAUGUGUCCCUCCUGGUUCAGGAGCUGUCUGAGGCAUAGAUGUGACCAGAGACUCUCUACAUGGCACCCCUUUCUCUAGCCUUGGGCAAAACGCAAACCUCCAUAGUGCACCCAGAUGAAAUAGCCAGACUCCCCAGAUGUGAAGAGGAAGAAGAGGGUUUAAUUCCAGAUUCCCUCCAAGGCUUGUUCUGUCUGCUCCCAUCUAGAAAUUCAUUUGCGAACAAACAGCAUUAUUGGGGCCCAAAGAGAAUCAAUUAGAAGUCUGUUGGCUGCAGCCAGUCUAGGUGAUGGGACCGCCGUUUGUUCGAAUGCUCUAAUACGUUCACUCAAGUGUCUGCCCCACGUCUCUAUGGCAAAGCCUGCAAAAUUGCAAGCAUUCAACUCUCACAAUUACCACUGACUCAGCUGCCAAAACAUAUUUUCCGUCCAUUUCUGACAGAGGCUUCUGUUUAAAUAGGAGAAGAGAGAUGAUCUCUUUUCAAAGUGAUUCCAGCCUGAUUCUCGGAGUGCAAGUGGUAAAGUCACCAAGUCCGAUUGGAAUGAAUUGAUUUAUCUUUUUUGGCAGCCCUGAUCAACACCCUCCCAAGAGGCUGGACUAUAAAUGGGAGGUAAUCAUGAUGAUAUACAUAUUUCUCUGGAUGCUGCUUGGCUAAUCCAGUCCAUUUGCCAUAGAUAUUAUCACUUCAGACAGCUGCUAUUCCAUUGCUGGUUUUGAAUUUUUUGUUUAACCCUGUACUUCAAGAAGAGAAAUCUGGUGGUUUUAUAACAUUCAGUUGAAUUGCCAGAAAAGCUAGAGGAGCAACUCAUUCUCCUUUAACAUUUUUGGGUAGAAGUUUUAUUCUUCCACCUGGACAAAAGUUGAUCUGUGAAAUGACAUUAAGCACAUGCUAAAUGUGCAUGUAAUAAUCGGUUCCCAUGGAUGUUGUGAUGUUUUGUGUUUAUACUGUAGACCUACUGAGUCUUGGGUUGUCAUUUUGGCUGUUUCUCUUGAUUCACUGGGUUAGGGGCUUCACUGGGGUGAAACUGGUAUUUGUAUGACCUCUUCAUUGUCCCUGCUGACUGCCAAUUAGAAGCCUUGAGAACUGUUUGCACUUUGACCUGUUUUACCUGCCACCUGCUUGCACCCCAGAGCUGAAAGCUUUCUUUAGGUUGUUUAUGACCUUUGCACCUAUGCUUGUGACCUGAGCCCUUUCAGUUUUUUAGUUCCUUGUCUUUGCUUUCCUUCUCUAGGACCACAUGUAAAGCCUCCACAGGGUCUGGGACAGUAUCCUAAUCCAACUGUGUUCUGCCCCUGCUGCCAGCAGCAUGGUUGAUACACAGUCAUUAAAUCGAAUGUUUAUCCUUCCCCAGAUAGCCAGUGGCUCAGUUCACCUAAUCAGGGGCUUUCCUGACUACCUUAUCCAAGAUUGUUGUUCCCAUCAUUACAGGCACCUUCUAGUUCUGGUUUGUAUUGCUUCAUGGGAUGUAUCAUUAUCUCAAAUAUCAGAUAUUUAAAUGUUAGUUUUCCCUGCCCCCUACUACAAGUUCUAUGAGAAAUAGGAAUUUGUUAUGUUGCUUGCUGAAUUUCCAACUUAGGACAGUGUCUGAAACAUAACAGGUACCCACUACAUUUUUAUUCAGUGGAAAAAAAAGAGCUUAAUUAAAGGAGAAGAAUAUAAAAAUCACCCAUAGCCACAGCUAACAUCAUACUCAGUGGCAAAAGAUUGGAAGUUCUUCCUCUAAAAUGAGGAACAAGACAAGGGUGCCUUCUUUUGCCAUGUGUAUUCAACAGAAAACUGGAAGUCCUAGCCAGAGCAAUUAGGCAAGAAAAAGAAAGAAAA